GCGCCCGUGGCUUAAUGGAUAAGGCGUCUGACUUCUAAUCAGGCUAAUCAGGCGAUUGUGGGUUCGAGUCCCACCGGGCGUG
rnacentral:tRNA from 1 species